rnacentral:rRNA from 1 species
GGGUUGUGAGGUUAAGCGACUAAGCGUACACGGUGGAUGCCCUGGCAGUCAGAGGCGAUGAAGGACGUGCUAAUCUGCGAUAAGCGUCGGUAAGGUGAUAUGAACCGUUAUAACCGGCGAUUUCCGAAUGGGGAAACCCAGUGUGUUUCGACACACUAUCAUUAACUGAAUCCAUAGGUUAAUGAGGCGAACCGGGGGAACUGAAACAUCUAAGUACCCCGAGGAAAAGAAAUCAACCGAGAUUCCCCCAGUAGCGGCGAGCGAACGGGGAGGAGCCCAGAGCCUGAAUCAGUGUGUGUGUUAGUGGAAGCGUCUGGAAAGGCGCGCGAUACAGGGUGACAGCCCCGUACACAAAAAUGCACAUACUGUGAGCUCGAUGAGUAGGGCGGGACACGUGGUA